UACAGAGGUCCCGAGCGUUGUUCGGAUUCACUGGGCGUAAAGGGUGCGUAGGCGGUCGGGUAAGUCUGAUGUGAAAUCUUACAGCUUAACUGUGAAACUGCAUUGGAUACUAUUCGGCUUGAGGUCUGGAGGGGGGACUGGAAUUCUCGGUGUAGCAGUGAAAUGCGUAGAUAUCGAGAGGAACACCAGUGGCGAAGGCGAGUCCCUGGACAGGUCCUGACGCUGAGGCACGAAAGCUAGGGGAGCAAACAGG
rnacentral:rRNA from 1 species